GGUAUGAAAGUCAUGAGAAACCCGAGCUUAACCACUUGGUGACCGUGCACAGUCAAGAAUUUCACCAUGACGAGGCAUAGGAAGGAACCUAAUUAAUAUCCAGGGAAGCCACCCACAGGAAGGAAUUUCUUUCCCAGAAAGCUAGUAUGAUUUAAUAUUAGAAAAUCUAUAAACAUGAUUUAUAUGAAUAAACCAAGAAAUAUUUUUUAAAAUGUAAAUCUCAAAGGUUGCUAAAAUGGCAUGUGUGAAUAUUUGGUAUCUCUUACUUUACCUAAAAUGCCUAGAAAAGAAAAGAUGCUACUGACCUCAAACAAAAGCCCAACACCAUGUUUGAGGAUGAAAUGCUACUGUCAUUCCUAUGAGGGUCAAGAAGGUGACAAAAAAGCUUUCUAUCAGCGGUAUGAUUUCAAAGUCUUGAUGAAUACUGGGCAUUGGACUUUUCAAAAGGCUUAACCACGGAAAAGGGGGCUAAGUGUUUUCAACUGAUCUGAUUAUCUUGCAAAUGAUCAAAUAUCUAGAACAGUUUUUCUCAGAAUAGCUUUACACUUCAAAAAUUAGUAGGAACCCCAAAAUCUUUUCUGUAAGUUUUAUCUGCCAAUAUUUACUUCAAAAUUAUUAGAACAGAAAUUUUGAUGAAUUUAUCUUAAAAUCCACUUUAAAGUAGUACUUAAAAACCUAUCACGACUGAGCGCGGCGGCUCAAGCCUGUAAUCCCAGCAUUUUGGGAGGCCGAGGCAGGUGAAUCACGAGGUCAGGAGAUCGAGACCUUCCUGGCUAACAGGGUGAAACCCCGUUUCUACUAAAAACACGAAGAAUUAGCCAGGCGUUGUGGCAGGCGCCUGUAGUUCCAGCUACUCGGGAGGCUGGGGCAGGAGAAUGGGGUGAACCCGAGAGGGUGAGGUUGCAGUGAGCCGAGAUCACGCCUCUGCACUCCAGCCUGGGUGACAAGGCGAGACUCCAUCUCAAACAAACAAACAAACAAACAAACAAAACCUAUCACCUCAUGUUAACAUAAAUUACAAACGCACAUGAAAAAAUAUUUUUUCUAAAGCCGUAGAGUGGUGAUCGACUUUCUUUUAGAUAAUUGAAAAUCCCCUAGACUUCUUACCUAGGAAAAGUCAGCUGGAUUCUUGUAACUGCUUCUGGACGUGAUCUGUUGCCAUAUCACACACAAUGAAAGUCAGGAAAAUCCCACUGUACACGCGAGACAGCAUGAGAGUGAAAAAGGAAACUAUGAGUAAAACGAAAACGUUCCCAUAAACGAGAACCUAGAAAAAUAACUAAUAAAAGUGACCGUUUAGAAAACUGAAGAUAUGCUCCACGACUGUGGAAAAUCCACCACGUUCUCUCGGAGCAAACUGCGCUAUAGAUAUAUGAGAGCUGACAAUGUUUGGUUCACGGAAAAGAAUGCACAAAAAAUGGGUAGGACACCACACGCCACCUGCCCCCACCACCGGCUCCAAAUUGGAAGUCACUUUUGGCCAGUGACUCUGGCUCAGAGACUGUAGUUCCGUCAUUGGCUGAGCCAGUGGAGACAGGCGUGUAAACAAAAGUUCCCUGAAAAGGAAUUUGGAGGACAGAGCUCUUGUUGUGCCAGUGAACACUCGGCAAUCCCUGGAGAGGCUGCCUUGGAUAUGAAACCAAUUACACUGAAGAGAGUGGUCGGGUUUAAUAGUAAACUUUCCCUCCGAACUUCCUAAUAAAGCCCAUUUAUGCAAACGAAGGAUUGAAAUUGCUGAGCUCUAAUUGGCCAAUGCCACUGAGCCCUGAUUGGUUGAUAGACCCUAGCUCUGAUUGUAUGGUUCUGGUAUGCUCUGGCAAAGCCUCAAUGUUGAAAAAUAUUUGUCCAGGUAUAUUACAUGGGCUUAGGGAGAAAAAGCCAUAUUUAAGCCUCUGUAUUCAAACACUAUCUGUAAGCUUUGGGAAAAGUGUAAGAACAAGCCAGACAUGAAUUAUGAAGCCAAGGGAUGUGCUUUUAGAUCUUAUUACUGUAGGGAAAUUUUUGAAAAGGCUGAAGGACAGAGGCUUGUAUAUCAGUGCAAGGAUAUGCCCUCAAACAGAUUGGUCAUAGAUGAUGACAAAUGCCAGACUUGUAAUGAAGGUUUAGCAGCAGCUUCUGAUGCAAGUCAUUAGAACGAGUGUCACUGUCUGCAGAGAGUGUCCUGAAAGCAGCAACUUCUGUCCUUGGUGGAAAUAACUCAUCUCCUAUAAACUGCUCCAGAGCAGAGAAGGUUGUACCUGGAGUUGUGAAUAUCAUUUCCCCUGGUCACCAUGCUUCCUCCAGGUCUCCUACUACUACCAAAUCUGUGUCAGCAACAGCAGCAGCUCCAAGGACAGUACGUGGGGCAAUGCAAGUACCUGCAGUCAUGACAUCAGAAAAUUUCAACUAUGACAGUUGAGUCAGUUAUUGCCGGUGCACCAUUAAUAACCACCACUAGUCCAACAGAAGCAGCCUCACCAAAGGUAAUCAUUCAGGCAAACCCUACUGGGAUGCCAGCUUCUACUGAAAACAGAGACGAAAUCACCAUCCAGUCUGCCAAACUCAUUACCAUCCCUGCUACACAUCCAAGUCUGCACAGUGUAAGUAGCAGAUGAAGUCAAUUCUGACUGACUAAGUCAUUAACAUCGUUGGAAACCCCCUGGCUGUGAGAGCACUUACCACUGUUUCAAUAGUGCAUGGUACACCUUUAAUGGGACUAUCACUGCCUACUCAACAGGCAUCUGGCCAGACUCUUCUUGAAGUUAUCAGUGCAGUCAUAAAAGGUUAAAUCAGAAGCAGUGGAAAACCAGUAGAAAGAUGAUGUGGAGACUGCAGCUGGUAGAAGAGAAACCAGCAGAUGACACAAGACAGUGACCCAAGUAGCGGUUGUCAGUGAGCCUUCUGCUAUUGCCCUUCGAUUAACUAACUAUAAGAACAGAAAGACUAUUGACAUGUGAAAAAUAAAAUGGCAGCCCCACCAUGGACUUCAGACUGUGAGUGGUAGUACUGACAUAAACACUUGCAAGGGAAGUCAUCGAGAAACGUCAAAGAAGACUUUAAAACAUUUUAAUGCACAUAAGAAAACAAUGAAACUUACUGGAAAUAAAUUCCCUAUCCCAUGUGUCAGUGAGAAAUGAACUAAACGCAUUGAGAUGCUGACAGAAACCUCCCUCUUACAGUAGGAAAACAACUGAACCCGUCAAUAGGAAAAAGGAUUGAAAGGGACCAGGCAGCACGCUACUAUCUCAAGUUAUGCUAAGAUUUGAAACACUGACAUUCUGCAAGAGGUUAUACAGUUUUCAGUGAGGAGGGGUUGGGAUGGGUGAUCUCAUUGUUACAUAUAGCAACUUUUAAUGCAUUGUAUAUGCAUGUUAGCAAGUAUUACUGUGUUCUCACACUACUCACUUAACUUGUGCUAUGUGAAUACUCUGCUAAUACAGGUGUUUUUUAAAAAACUCUACAAAUACUUUAAUUUUUAGUGAUGAAAUUUUAAUGAUUUUACCACUAGAUUCAAAAUUAAAAUGGGCUUAUGGAUAUUGUUUUCUUAAUUCAGUGGUGAUUGGGACUUUCAAAGAUGCUUUAUCUAGGUUUCCUGUUAGGAAACCUAGAAUGAGUCAUGAUUUUAAGCCCCUUAUUAAUUCCCUCAGUAAUUAGUUGUCAAAAAUGAAAAUAUUCAUGAAUGAUGAGUACACAGAAUACAGAAAACCUAGUGAAAAGCCUGAAAGAGAAAAUAAAUGAACAGCAGAGUUCUGUGGGAGUUCUAUGCCGGUGCUACAUUAUCUGAUUUUCCUCGUAAUUCACCAAGAAGAACCAGCGGAACUUCACGACCAAGGGGCUGCAGUUGGUGAUGGUAACCUAGCGAAUGACCUCAGUAUCAUUCAGGAUGCAGCCAAAAUCCAGCUCCAUCAUCUCAAAGCUGAUGUUGGGGUAAUGCACUCCUCCACGCAGGUCCAGGCUGUCUCUCUAAGGGUGUUCCACAUGCUUAAUUGCUAGAAUUUCUUCUGCCACCCAGUUGUUCAGAUCCUUUCUGUAGGAGGGUUCAAACUUGAUCAGCAGGGUUUUUUUCUUCAUCGAUUUCCAGUUUUAUAGGCCACAAAGAUAAUGGAUGGAAAUUACCAACUUUUGUACUAUGCAUUUUCACCCAAUACAAGUAUUUUAGAAUGUGAACUGAAGAAUGGAUCCAAAAGCGUCAGAAAGUGAAAAGCACAAAAGAGAAA
ensembl:lncRNA